rnacentral:miRNA from 1 species
AAAAACCAGAACGAACUUUUUG